GUGAUCUGGCGCGUCUCCGCCGCAGUCAACAACGUUGAGGAGUAGGCGGGGCUUCGUUCGACGUGCUCGCUCCCGUGACGCUGAUGUGCCCGCCCCGACGCUGAGGUUCAUGAGCAGAUACUCAAAGCAAUCACAACAAUCAUUGUAUAACCGAUGGCUUGAAAGACAUAAAAGAGCGUUGUCUACUCAGUUGACCAUCUGCACGUCUCUGCCGUCCUGAAUUGUUCUGCUCCCAUGCCAAGCGGUAAUACUACCUGAUGGGAUGCUUUAAAUAGUGCUUGUGUAGAAAGGGGGUCCUCAUAAACUUCUCCUGCUUCUGAAGUCACGCUGCUGUCCCACCCUGGCUGAGCUGUUGGUAUGUGUGAUUCAUUUCAUAUGUGACUGUUUGAAGGUGUGAAGUUGCUUUUUUCACCAAUGGAAUUGGAGUCAUAGGCAAUACAUCAGUUCAGUUAUGUAUGUAUCAGGCUCAGACAUUACUUUUCUAUGAAGGGGCGCUUUUUGCCCCCGGGAUUGAUUUCUGGGGCUUUUUUUUUUUAAAUCUUUGUGAGAGCAAUUUAUAGAAUUAACUUUUUAAUUGUAUUUCUGUUGUCUUUUUUCUUAUUCAAGUAUUUCAUUAUUUUAAUCAAUCAAUCAGGAUUUUAUCAACAUAAAAAAGUCAUCUUUACACUACAAAGGUGGUAAAGAAGCUGCAUCUGACAUAUUUCAUGUUUAUUCACACACUUACUGUAAGGAAUAGUUCAUCCAAAAAAGAAAAUAGGCCAUCCAAGAUGUGAGAGUCGAAACAUCUGAUAAAUACAUUAGAAUAAUCCAAGUAAUCAUCACAACUUAAGCCAAUCAAUGAAUGUCUUGUGAACCAAAAAUCUGAAUGUUUGUAAGAAACAAAUUCAUCAUUAAAGGGUUAGUUCACCCCAAAAUGAAAAUUCUGUCAUUAAUUACUCACACUCAUGUCGUUCCAAACCCGUAAGACCUUCAUUCAUCUUCGGAACACAAAUUAAGAUAUUUUUUGAUGAAAUCGAAGAGCUAUCUGACCCUCCAUAGACAGCAACACAACUGAAAUGUUCCCAGGUCCAGAAAUGUAGUAAAUACAUCAGUAAAACAGUCCAUGUGACAUCAGUGGCUCAACGUCAGUUUUGCAGUGC
rnacentral:lncRNA from 12 species